rnacentral:rRNA from 1 species
AGUGAACGCUGGCGGCAGGCCUAACACAUGCAAGUCGAACGGCAGCACAGGAGAGCUUGCUCUCUGGGUGGCGAGUGGCGGACGGGUGAGGAAUAUAUCGGAAUCUACCCUUUCGUGGGGGAUAACGUAGGGAAACUUACGCUAAUACCGCAUACGAACUGAGGUUGAAAGCGGCGGACCGCAAGGCGUCGCGCGGAUGGAUGAGCCGAUAUCCGAUUAGCUAGUUGGCGGGGUAAAGGCCCACCAAGGCGACGAUCGGUAGCUGGUCUGAGAGGAUGAUCAGCCACACUGGAACUGAGACACGGUCCAGACUCCUACGGGAGGCAGCAGUGGGGAAUAUUGGACAAUGGGCGCAAGCCUGAUCCAGCCAUGCCGCGUGUGUGAAGAAGGCCUUCGGGUU